GCAGACUCACUCUGUGCUGAACUGCAAACUCCAGUUACAGCGCUUUUUCAGUCUGCUAUAUAAACACCAUGAUCAUCUAAACACUUUCUUUGCUGUGGAAAUGUGGUUUUUGAUUAUGGGAUAUUGGU